rnacentral:lncRNA from 1 species
GUAAUUAGUAAAGAAUCUUAAGAUAUAAUGAAGCACAUAAUCUAUACUUACAGCCUGAUCUGCAAGGAUCAUUUCUGUUGUUUCACCAGUGAAUUGCAUGUAUUGUGUCCAUGAAUUUUCACUUGGAUCUUCCAAUUCGUCUUGAAAGGUCUCACAUCAGCAAGGGUGGUGAUACCGUGAUUUUGAGCCAUGGUUACGAAAUAGUAAAAAGUGAAGAAUGCUUUUAUGAAAG